CAUGUGUGUGUGUGUGUGUGUGUGUGUGUGUGUGUGUGUGUGUGUGGUGUGCAGUGAUGGGAAUAACGGCGUUGAAAUAAACGGCGUUACUAACGCCGUUACUUUUUUCAGUAACGAUUAAUCUAACUAAUUACUCUGACUGUCACUAUAACGCCGUUACCACUACUGACACCCCGUUACUGCACGUUACUGAAGCCGCUCAAUAAUCUUUUUUUUUUUUU